ACAUUUACUGCGCCUUUCUUCCUGAAGAGUCCCAAAGGGCAUUACAAGCAGAUAUGAUAAAUUCACUGCUUGUUCUUAAAGGAUACUGAAGAAUAUUGCUCCUGGCUUUGUAUGGAGAAGCAGCCAGCAGCCAGCAGAUGCACUGCCCUCUGUGUACUCCUGGAAGAGCUAUGCAUCCUGAAGAAGAAGGUUAAGCAGCACUCGGUUUACAUCAGUGAUCCUUUAAUGCUUGUGGCCAUGCAACCCUGCUUGGAACUGAGGAGCUUGUCUUAUUUGUAUGGAGUGAUGAAAGAGCUGUUCUACGCUUUUGCCUUGCUGAACUGAAGCCUUUACAUAAAGGGGCGUCAGAGGAGUGAUCUUCCCCAGUGGUUUCCUAUCUCAUUGGGUCACAGCUCUGUGUGGAUUUAGGACUGGCAGAUGGCCUCUGCACCUCACUGUGAUGACUUCAUUCUGCUGUCUGCAAAGGUCCCCCUUCAUUGCCUCUGCACAGGGUUACUUUGCUGUCAGAAUGGUCCCCUGCUUACUACUGCUGCCCUGUUGGGUGCUGAAAGUCAGCAUCUGAAGUCCUUCGGAUCAGUUAGCUGUUUCCUGCAGUGAGAUCUUCCUUCAGGACAAAGCUUUGCUCUGUCAUGUUGUGAUGCCGCCUCCAGUUCUGUCAGCUUUCACAGCUCAGAGUGUGCGCUGCUGCUGAAGGAGCCGUGGAGCUGUGACAGCCUUCCCACCAAUUCAUGCAUCAGCCUGGAAGCAGCCUCACGAGCCACCAGCAGACAAUUGGAUUCAUAACACACUGAAGGAAACAGCAACAUUUUUUUUUUUCCUGUUAGAUGGAGAAAUGAAAACUAAAAUUUGAGAUGUUUUUGCAGCCAAAGUUGGUUAUAGGAAAGCCAGUAAAUGUGUUCCUACGUUAGAGAGAAAAAUAGCAGAAUUUGAAAAGUUUCCAAGUCUACAUUCUUCUUGUUGGUUUUCUAUGACAUUUUAACUAUGAUAAAGAAAUCAAUAU
rnacentral:lncRNA from 7 species